AUUGAACGCUGGCGGCAGGCCUAACACAUGCAAGUCGAGCGCGCGGCGGACGGGUGAGUAAUGUAUGGGUAUCUGCCUGAUGGCGGGGGAUCACUACUGGAAACGGUCGCUAAUACCGCAUUCCAUCAGAUGCACCCAUAGGGGAUUAGCUAGUAGGUGAGGUAAAGGCUCACCUAGGCGACGAUCCCUAGCUGGUCUGAGAGGAUGAUCAGCCACACUGGGACUGAGACACGGCACAGACUCCUACGGGAGGCAGCAGUGGGGAAUAUUGCACAAUGGGCGCAAGCCUGAUGCAGCCAUGCCGCGUGUAUGAAGAAGGCCUUCGGGUUGUAAAGUACUUUCAGUCGGGAGGCGUUACCGGCAGAAGAAGCACCGGCUAACUCCGUGCCAGCAGCCGCGGUAAUAC
rnacentral:rRNA from 1 species